GGGAUAGCAGCUGGAAACGGCUGAUAAAACCGCAUAAGCGCACAGCAUCGCAUGAUGCAGUGUGAAAAACUCCGGUGGUAUGAGAUGGACCCGCGUCUGAUUAGCUGGUUGGUGAGGUAACGGCCCACCAAGGCGACGAUCAGUAGCCGGCCUGAGAGGGUGACCGGCCACAUUGGGACUGAGACACGGCCCAAACUCCUACGGGAGGCAGCAGUGGGGAAUAUUGCACAAUGGGGGAAACCCUGAUGCAGCGACGCCGCGUGAAGGAAGAAGUAUCUCGGUAUGUAAACUUCUAUCAGCAGGGAAGAUAAUGACGGUACCUGACUAAGAAGCCCCGGCUAACUACGUGCCAGCAGCCGCGGUAAUACGUAGGGGGCAAGCGUUAUCCGGAUUUACUGGGUGUAAAGGGAGCGUAGGCGGCGGAGCAAGUCAGAAGUGAAAGCCCGGGGCUCAACCCCGGGACGGCUUUUGAAACUGCCCUGCUUGAUUUCAGGAGAGGUAAGCGGAAUUCCUAGUGUAGCGGUGAAAUGCGUAGAUAUUAGGAGGAACACCAGUGGCGAAGGCGGCUUACUGGACUGACAAUGACGCUGAGGCUCGAAAGCGUGGGGAGCAAACAGGAUUAGAUACCCUGGUAGUCCACGCCGUAAACGAUGA
rnacentral:rRNA from 1 species